rnacentral:rRNA from 1 species
UUUUUGAGCGGGGGACAACAUUUGGAAACGAAUGCUAAUACCGCAUAACAACUUUAAACACAAGUUUUAAGUUUGAAAGAUGCAAUUGCAUCACUCAAAGAUGAUCCCGCGUUGUAUUAGCUAGUUGGUGAGGUAAAGGCUCACCAAGGCGAUGAUACAUAGCCGACCUGAGAGGGUGAUCGGCCACAUUGGGACUGAGACACGGCCCAAACUCCUACGGGAGGCAGCAGUAGGGAAUCUUCGGCAAUGGACGAAAGUCUGACCGAGCAACGCCGCGUGAGUGAAGAAGGUUUUCGGAUCGUAAAACUCUGUUGGUAGAGAAGAACGUUGGUGAGAGUGGAAAGCUCAUCAAGUGACGGUAACUACCCAGAAAGGGACGGCUAACUACGUGCCAGCAGCCGCGGUAAUACGUAGGUCCCGAGCGUUGUCCGGAUUUAUUGGGCGUAAAGCGAGCGCAGGUGGUUUAUUAAGUCUGGUGUAAAAGGCAGUGGCUCAACCAUUGUAUGCAUUGGAAACUGGUAGACUUGAGUGCAGGAGAGGAGAGUGGAAUUCCAUGUGUAGCGGUGAAAGUGCGUAGAUAUAUGGAGGAACACCGGUGGCGAAAGCGGCUCUCUGGCCUGUAACUGACACUGAGGCUCGAAAGCGUGGGGAGCAAACAGGAUUAGAUACCCUGGUAGUCCACGCCGUAAACGAUGAGUGCUAGAUGUAGGGAGCUAUAAGUUCUCUGUAUCGCAGCUAACGCAAU